UGCCGGAUUAGCGUGCCGUGGGUCUUGUAGCCUGCGAAGAGAUGAGUGGGAAACGGCCUGCUGAGCCGGGCCCGGGCCGGACGGGGAAAAAGGGAAAGAAGGAGGUAAUGGCGAGGUUUUCGGAUGCUGUCACGGAAGAAACUUUGAAAAAGCAAGUGGCUGAGGCCUGGAGUCGCAGGACGCCAUUCCGCCAUGAAGCCAUUGUCAUGGACAUGGACCCCUUUCUUCACUGCGUGAUCCCAAACUUCAUCCAAAGCGAAAAUUUCUUGGAAGGACUUCAGAAGGAACUUUUGAACUUGGACUUCCAUGAAAAGUAUAAUGAUUUAUAUAAGUUCCAGCAGUCUGAUGAUCUGAAGAAGAGAAGAGAGCCUCACAUCUGUGCUUUAAGGAAAAUUCUGUUUGAACAUUUCCGGGCUUGGCUUUCAGACAUUUCCAAGAUUGACCUGGAAUCAACCAUUGACAUGUCCUGUGCUAAAUACGAAUUCUCAGGGAAUAGCAGGCACACUGACAUUAAGUGCAGUCAGACGUCAGCUGCCCAUGGGCCGUGCAGCGACAUCACCGUGUGCUCAACCACUGCAGACGCCCUGCUCUGCCAUGACGACGAGCUGGAAGGGCGCCGGAUCGCCUUCAUCCUUUACCUGGUUCCUCCCUGGGACAGGAGCUUGGGGGGCACCCUGGACCUGUACAACAUUGACGAGCACUUCCAGCCGAAGCAGAUUGUCAAGUCUCUUAUCCCUUCGUGGAACACACUGGUUUUCUUUGAAGUGUCUCCAGUAUCCUUUCACCAGGUGUCUGAAGUCCUGUCUGAAGAGAAGUCACGUUUGUCCAUCAGCGGCUGGUUUCAUGGUCCUUCACUGACCAGGCCUCCCACCUACUUUGAACCUCUCGUACCUCGCAGCCCUCACAUCCCACAAGAUCAUGAAAUUUUGUAUGAUUGGAUCAACCCUACUUAUCUUGACAUGGAGUACCAAGUUCAAAUUCAAGAAGAAUUUGAAGAAAGUUCCGAGAUUCUCCUAAAAGAGUUCCUUAAGCCUGAGAAAUUUGCAGAGGUGUGUGAGGCUUUGGAGAAAGGAGGCGUGGAAUGGAGCAGCCGAGGUCCCCCUAACAAAAGGUUUUAUGAGAAGGCCGAGGAGAGCAAGCUUCCUGACAUCCUGAAGGACUGCAUGGCGUUAUUUCGCUCUGAGGCAAUAUUCUUGCUGCUCUCCAACUUCACAGGCCUGAAACUUCACUUCUUGGCCCCUUCAGAAGAAGAUGAGCUUGAGGACAAAAAAGAGGGAGACGCAGCCUCUGCUGCUGCUAACACUGAAGAAGGGACUAGCCACAGCUCUUCUGAGCCAGAGAACAGUCAGGCGACAGCAGUCAGGGACAGCAGUCAACAGAGCACUGAACAGACAGACCCAGAGCCAGAGGAAGACGACUCAAAGCAAGAGUCAAGUGUUCCCAUGUGCCAGGGGGAACUGAGGCAUUGGAAGACCGGUCACUACACUUUAAUCCAUGACAACAGCAAGACUGAGUUUGCCCUGGACUUACUUCUCUACUGUGGCUGUGAAGGCUGGGAGCCAGAAUAUGGUGGCUUUACCUCCUACAUUGCCAAAGGAGAAGAUGAAGAGCUGCUAACAGUGAAUCCAGAAAACAAUUCUUUGGCGUUGGUCUACAGAGACAGAGAGACUCUGAAAUUUGUCAAGCAUAUUAACCACCGAAGCCUAGAACAAAAGAAAACCUUCCCAAACAGAACAGGUUUCUGGGACUUUUCAUUUGUCUAUUAUGAGUGACAAGGCUGGGCAAAGCUGGAAAAAGGAGACCCUUCCUCAGUGCUGGGACGUCUGGAAGAGUUAGGCAUCAAGUGAAGGAGAGCCACAAGGUGACCUGUGUGACAGCGUUCUUAAAACUGCGGUUGUUCUCUAACAGGGCUCAUGAUGAUUGUCCUCAAUCCAGACCUUGAGCUUGGAGCUAGAGUACUGAAAUUUGCGUUUAAAUGAAGAAAAGGAGUUUCACUUUCUUUCAGGUUGGUGGUUUCAAAAUUUUGAUCUUGCACCCCCAAUCAGUAAAAAAAUGUUUCAGCGUGUAUGCUCAUUAUAUGGCUAUUUAUAAAUUUUACACAUGUACUGAUAUUCAGUAUUAGUUGUUAUAAAACAAACACUAAUUUUUAAAAGAGCUAAAAAAUACCUAGAACUAGUUCUCAUAUUGCCUUUCCCACCAACAUGGCCAGGACCAUUUACAUGCAUACGGUUUUGGGGACCACAAGUUUUUAACCACAGCGUAGUGACAUUCAAGUGGGAUUACAACUACUACUUUGUUACUAAUGGUUUAAAUUUCACAGCUUGACUUUUAAGUUCCUGCAGACUGACAGUCAUCCCUAUAGUAGUACUUUCACUUGCUAUCUGAUACGUUUUUGUGAGUGCCAGCAAGAGGGGUGAAGCUCUAGUUAAUACCCUCUCAGUGGCAUAGCCCCAGGGAAUAGGGCUGAGCAGGUGAAACCAUCAUGUGUGCCAAGCUUGGAAAAUACUUUGAGACUCAUGGUUGUAGGUAACAUCUAAGAGUUCUGGAGCACGGAGUCUUAAGUCUUAGCAUCCUACAUAAGCGUUAAAAUUUGCUUAUUAUGUUCUCCUUUAUCUCAAUGUGUUUAUGAUCUGUCAGCACAGCAGAAUCUUCUGUACAGUACAAAAGAGGAUUCUGGUGUCCAAGGAAAGAGAAUCCCUGAGAGCCAGACUGUGAUGUUGCUGUCAGUUACAUCAUCUAUAGCGGUACCUGUUCGACCGUGAAGGAUGGUUUAACUCACAGGUUACUUUUCUGCACUGAAGAUACCCCGUGAUGGAAAUGUUGCUUUUCCUUAGUAUUUCAUUCUUCAUCUUGAUUUUUAGGGCCUGGAGCCGAUGUUGACAACUAUUAAGUAGCAAUAGAGGAAUUAAAACAUAGGCAUCUUUUUCAUAUUCUUGCAGAUAAAAGCUAUGAUGUUCACUUGUAAAAUACGUCACCUCUUAAUGCUUAUAAUUCCUUUUAAUCAUGGAAGAUUUUUUUCGCCAAAGAGCAUAAUCUUAUAUAUUUUUUAAAUUAUCUAUAUAUGUUCAUUGUGAAGAACACAACAUGUAAAAAUAUAAAGUAAAGGUCACCUGGAAUCCCACUAUCCUGUGACAGCCACUGUGUGCUAUGUAAUCUGUCAACUUGGCUAGCCUGAACUACAUUUCCCAGGACUCCCUUCCCUCUGUUUGCAGUUAGGCUGAGCCACAUAUUCUUGUGCAUGACAUGGAGGGGCCAGAAUGAAGCAGCAGCCAUUCUGUAGCUCACAUACACCAUAGCUUACCUGCUGGCUCACCUUCUCAGUGUGAAUCUGUGUCUGCACCUGCAACUGCUCCACCAUCCCUUGCCUUUUCCUUCAGCUUCUCUGAUGAAGGGUCUCCCCACACCAUCAAAAUCAGAGGCAAGAACUGACAGAUUUUAAUGUGUCCUCGUGGGCUCCAACUCUUGCCUCUGGGUUCCAGCUUGUUCUUGCUCUUCCCAACUCUACAUCCUUUCUGACUGCCUAUCCUGUGGGCUUCAGGUUCUAGCAUCAGACUAGAAAAUUUACAGCAACUACUUUAUCACUUCCUACAGUUGUGUACCGUCAAGUCCCCAUGACAGAUUCCCUUUAUCAUGUUAACCAUUAUGUAAAUUAAGAACAUUUUCAUUAAAUUAUUUUGAGAGCAUAUUAGUAUUUCUGUUAAGAGAAGGAAAAAAAUAUUUAAAGAAGAACCCUAUAAAUAAUCUAAUUUCAGUCCCUCAUUUAAAGAUGUAGAAAACUGAAACCUAGACGAGGAAGAGGCUGUUAG